CCACCCCAUUUUUCUUUUAUAACCUACACCAUUCUUCACCCAAACCUCACCACUUCACCAUUUCUAAAUUCUGCAGUCUCAAUUUCACACAGCAAGUUAAGAAAUAAAUAUCUUCCACCACACCUAUUCAAGGUCCAGACGGGAAGUGAAAGCUAAAGAAGGAGGUAACUCUACGCCCCUAGUGGGAACGGAAUGAGGUUGAGCGGGUGAUGGAAUGGAGUGGAGUUGAGCGGAUGUACCUUUUGACAUAAAAUAAUAAUGUAACCUUGAGUAUACAUCUUCAUAUGUAUAACUCACACGUAUUUCCGCUGCAAGAUACUCUGAUUAUGUUAAUGUUUUAUUUUAAGUA